rnacentral:rRNA from 1 species
UAGGGAAUCUUCCGCAAUGGGCGAAAGCUUGACGGAGCAACGCCGCGUGAGUGAUGAAGGUCUUCGGAUCGUAAAACUCUGUUAUUAGGGAAGAACAAAUGUGUAAGUAACUAUGCACGUCUUGACGGUACCUAAUCAGAAAGCCACGGCUAACUACGUGCCAGCCGCCGCGGUAAUACGUAGGUGGCAAGCGUUAUCCGGAAUUAUUGGGCGUAAAGCGCGCGUAGGCGGUUUUUUAAGUCUGAUGUGAAAGCCCACGGCUCAACCGUGGAGGGUCAUUGGAAACUGGAAAACUUGAGUGCAGAAGAGGAAAGUGGAAUUCCAUGUGUAGCGGUGAAAUGCGCAGAGAGAUGGAGGAACACCAGUGGCGAAGGCGACUUUCUGGUCUGUAACUGACGCUGAUGUGCGAAGGCGUGGGGAUCAAACAGG